UACGUAGGUGGCAAGCGUUGUCCGGAUUUACUGGGCGUAAAGCGCGCGCAGGCGGGCUGGUCAGUCUGGGGUGAAAUCUCACGGCUCAACCGUGAGAGGUCCCUGGAUACUGCUAGCCUUGAGGGGCUCAGAGGAGAGUGGAAUUCCGGGUGUAGUGGUGGAAUGCGUAGAUAUCGGGAGGAACACCAGUGGCGAAGGCGACUUCCUGGCCUGUUCUUGACGCUGAGGCGCGAAAGCUAGGGGAGCAAACGGG
rnacentral:rRNA from 1 species